AUAUUAGGAUACUUGGUGUUUGCUAUGUGUCAGAAGUUUUUGUGAACACAUCACAUAUGUAAGUGUGAACCCUCAACAGUCUUGUGAAGAAGACACUAAUAUUAUGCACAUGAGGAAACCUAGGCACGGAAAAUUUAUGGUAUCUUGAUCGAGGUCAUAAAGAAAGUAAAUGGCAAAGAUCUUUUGAAGAAGAAUCAUUUUCAGAAAAAAAUUAUUUACUGUCUGCAUGGAGUGAACAGGACUUCAGCAUUUGAUCUGUAUGGUGUACUGCCUUCUAAACAGGACCUUGGGGAAACACUAAGGAUGUGCAUUUAUGAUAUUUGUUUAUUCUGGACUUCUCAUACAAAUGGAAUCAUACCUCA